UGUAAUUGAUAAAUAUAGUCUUAAGAAUUCGCCAAAUAUAGAAAAGUUCUUGGUAUAUUAUCCACCUGUUAGCAAAAUGAACUCGCCCAUUGACCCACAUUCCAGUUUGUUGUGGUAUUUUUGUACAGGGUGAUGCCAAAACAGUGCCUUUUGUUGACUGGUAAACAGUCCUUCAGUUACUAAAAUGCCUUUUUCCUUUAAUUUCAGCUGGUUGCAUGGUGUGUACUGCAGAUAACUUCUCGACUUAAUCCGGCUGAUGUGAUGCUUUAGUUGAUUCGAGAGGCUACAUGUAUAUGACCCAGUACGUCGACAUCAUUGAUCCGGCAGUGAACAAGAUAAGUGGUUCAGCCUCCAAGAUGUGUCACCAGAAAUGCAACCGACAUUAUAGACAGGCGUGAUUACUACUCUGAUUUUGGACUGAUGGUAUACUCGUCUUCAAAAUGGACCUGACUAGGAAUGAUGAUGGUGACUUCCCUCCUCAGAAAAAAGCUCGGUUGGAUUCGAAAGUUGGUGCAGGCGGUCAUUAGCGAUAUUUCGGUCGUAAACGCAAGAAGUCCAAGAAAUCCACUGACAAAUCAGGAAAACGUAUAUUCAAUGUCGGCGACACGUGUUUGUUCAGAUUGGACUCAAAAGUUUAUCUUGGAACCGUCCUUAGUCAAGUUG